GCACACGGUGGAUGCCUUGGCACCAGAGGCCGAUGAAGGGCGUGGCAGAGCUGCGAAAAAGCCUCGGGGAGCUGCAUCGCAAGCUGUUAUCCGGGGAUUCCCGAAUGGGGCAACCCGACCAGGGUCAUGCCUGGUCACCCUCGCUGAAUCAAAUAGGCGGUGUGGAGGGCACGCGGGGAACUGAAACAUCUAAGUACCCGCAGGAAGAGAUAUUCCCCCAGUAGUGGCGAGCGAACAGGGAAAAGCCUAAACCGAAGCGGCGUGAUAGACGGCAGUCGUUUCCGCUUCGGGGUCGUGGGACCCACCCGUACCCGCUGCCGCGGAUGCAGAGAGUCACAAAACCGACGUCUAGCCGAACGGCAUUGAAAGGCCGGCGAUACAGGGUGGCAGCCCCGUAGGCGAAAGGCGAGCGGUCUCUCCGUGGGGAUCCCAAGUACCACCGACCACGUGGAAUUCGGUGGGAAUCUGCGCGGACCAUCGCGUAAGGCUAAAUACCUCUGGUGACCGAUAGUGAACGGGUACCGUGAGGGAAAGGUGAAAAGUACCCCGGAAGGGGAGUGAAAUAGUACCUGAAACCGUGUGCUUACAAACCGUGAGAGCACUAUGCCUGCUUGCAGGAAUGUGUGAUUGCGUGCCUUUUGUAGAAUGAUCCGGCGAGUUACUUCAGUGUGGCGAGGUUAAGGGGUUGACACCCGGAGCCGUAGCGAAAGCGAGUCUGAAUAGGGCGUUAUGUAGUCGCACUGAGUAGACCCGAAACCGAGUGACCUACCCAUGGUCAGGGUGAAGCGCGGGUAAGACCGCGUGGAGGCCCGAACCGACCCCGGUUGAAAACGCGGCGGAUGAACUGUGGGUAGCGGUGAAAUGCCAAUCGAACUCGGAAAUAGCUGGUUCUCCUCGAAAUGCAUUUAGGUGCAGCGUCG
rnacentral:rRNA from 1 species